rnacentral:tRNA from 1 species
CGGGUCGUGGCCUAGCUUGGUAAGGCGCUUGACUGGGGGUCAAGAGAUCGGGAGUUCAAAUCUCCCCGACCCGA